rnacentral:ncRNA from 1 species
UUUCUUCGGGGUCGGGUGAAAUUCCCAGCCGGCGGUGAUGAGGUGAGCCUCUCAGUCCGCAACCCGUUUUAUCAAGCAUAAAACGGUGGAUUUGGUGCAAGUCCAAAGCCGACAGUGAAAGUCUGGAUGGGAGAAGAA